CGCGGAAGCAUCACGGGAUUGUUGUCAAACGCAGGCGUACGAAGGCAGGUACCAACAGACAUGAAUGGAGAGGAAUUCUCUUAAGUCGGAGAGAGUAAAGAAAAAAUUAAGAUAAUUACCUGUACGGACGACGAGAGGUGCAUUUUAAAGAGGGAGAGACAGAGAAGGAGAAAGAAGGGUGCGAAUUUCAGACUGCGUGGUAGGGGCAAACAGCACAGAAUGUGGUCGACAUGUUAAGCUAAGAGAUAGAUCUACAGUUUCAGGAGCUGAGGCCCCGUGCACUGCAGGAUGGAUUUCAUGCUCUGGAUGGUCAACGCACAAGGGCCGGCCUUAGGAUCUUGCAGAAUAUGGAAGGAGGUUUCUCGACACAACAUCUGAGGUAUCAUCAGGAGUGCUGAUGUCACAUUUGAGGGACUUCGUAUUGCAGAGUUCGGGAUUUUGCCGAGCACGUAUCUGGCAUUUUGAAGCAAAGCGAGAAGGAGUUUAUAAUCUUUUCAUAAAACUGCUGUCAAAGUCCACAUUAACAUCCGUCUGGAACCGGAGUCGUUGAUUGCUUUUUCACUUUAGCCUUGCUGUUUCCUCACAGUGGUGUGCUGGUGUGCAGCUGCUGCCUUACAGCAACUCUGAGGAGACACAGUACCUCAGAUUCAGAAUCAAAGUAACCAUCUCAACGAAAAUGAUGUCAUCGUCCAUCACAAUGUUUAACAGUGGACAUCGUAGCCAUCGUGAUAUUCCAAUUUGGCAGACACUGGCAAACCUUAUCUUGAUGUCUUGUGUGAAUUACCUGGUCAUGUUGCCACAAAAACACCUGGAUGUUAACCUAAUGUUUUGAAAAAAUACCCGGUUUACCAGACACCUGGAAAAGGUCCAGGCGUCCUGCUAAACAUAGCUGGUUUUGCCAAUUGAAAUGUGAAGCAAGCAGUGGUUUCGGAUAGUGGUCUCUACCUUCGCAGCUGUUGAACCUUUAUAUUUCUUUGCAUUUCUUUAUGUUUUAGCUUAGAAUUUCAAGGCCUGGUUAGAUUUAGCCACAAAAGCCACUUGGUUAGGGUUAGGAAAAGAAAAAAUAUUUUACUAAAAACACACAAUUUUGUACCCACAGUGAUGCCUGGAAAAUGUCACUCUGUUUUCCCCCCCCAAAUACUUUUUUUUUUUUGCAAUAAAGACAUCUGAAAAUUUCUCUCUAAAAA